AGUGAACGCUGGCGGUAGGCCUAACACAUGCAAGUCGAACGGCAGCACAGUAAGAGCUUGCUCUUACGGGUGGCGAGUGGCGGACGGGUGAGGAAUACAUCGGAAUCUACUUUUUCGUGGGGGAUAUCGUAGGGAAACUUACGCUAAUACCGCAUACGACCUACGGGUGAAAGCAGGGGAUCUUCGGACCUUGCGCGAUUGAAUGAGACGAUGUCGGAUUAGCUAGUUGGCGGGGUAAAGGCCCACCAAGGCGACGAUCCGUAGCUGGUCUGAGAGGAUGAUCAGCCACACUGGAACUGAGACACGGUCCAGACUCCUACGGGAGGCAGCAGUGGGGAAUAUUGGACAAUGGGCGCAAGCCUGAUCCAGCCAUACCGCGUGGGUGAAGAAGGCCUUCGGGUUGUAAAGCCCUUUUGUUGGGAAAGAAAAGCAGCAGGUUAAUACCCCGCUGUUCUGACGGUACCCAAAGAAUAAGCACCGGCUAACUUCGUG
rnacentral:rRNA from 1 species